UUCUUUAACAAUGCAGGUGAGACGCUCC
rnacentral:piRNA from 1 species